rnacentral:rRNA from 1 species
GAGUUUGAUCGUGGCUCAGAUUGUACGCUGGCGGCAGGCCUAACACAUGCAAGUCGAGCGGUAGAGAGAAGCUUGCUUCUCUUGAGAGCGGCGGACGGGUGAGUAAUGCCUAGGAAUCUGCCUGGUAGUGGGGGAUAACGCUCGGAAACGGACGCUAAUACCGCAUACGUCCUACGGGAGAAAGCAGGGGACCUUCGGGCCUUGCGCUAUCAGAUGAGCCUAGGUCGGAUUAGCUAGUUGGUGAGGUAAUGGCUCACCAAGGCGACGAUCCGUAACUGGUCUGAGAGGAUGAUCAGUCACACUGGAACUGAGACACGGUCCAGACUCCUACGGGAGGCAGCAGUGGGGAAUAUUGGACAAUGGGCGAAAGCCUGAUCCAGCCAUGCCGCGUGUGUGAAGAAGGUCUUCGGAUUGUAAAGCACUUUAAGUUGGGAGGAAGGGCAGUAAAUUAAUACUUUGCUGUUUUGACGUUACCGACAGAAUAAGCACCGGCUAACUCUGUGCCAGCA